rnacentral:rRNA from 1 species
GACGAACGCUGGCGGCGUGCUUAACACAUGCAAGUCGAACGGAAAGGCCCUGCUUGCAGGGUACUCGAGUGGCGAACGGGUGAGUAACACGUGGGUGAUCUGCCCUGCACUUCGGGAUAAGCCUGGGAAACUGGGUCUAAUACCGGAUAUGACCUUCCAUGAAGUGUGUGGGUUGGAAAGAUUUAUCGGUGUUGGAUGGGCCCGCGGCCUAUGGGCUUGUUGGUGGGGUAAUGGCCUACCAAGGCGUCGACGGGUAGCCGGCCUGAGAGGGUGGACGGCCACAUUGGGACUGGGAGACGGACCAGAAUCCUACGGGAGGCAGCAGUGGAGAAUAUUGCACAAUAGGGGGAAGCCUGAUGCAGCGACGCCGCGUGGGGGAUGACGGCCUUCGGGUUGUAAACCUCUUUCGACAGGGACGAAGCUUCGGUGACGGUACCUGUAUAAGAAGCACCGGCUAACUACGUG